rnacentral:rRNA from 1 species
GACGAACGCUGGCGGCGUGCUUAACACAUGCAAGUCGAACGGUAAGGCCCUUCGGGGUACACGAGUGGCGAACGGGUGAGUAACACGUGGGUGAUCUGCCCUGCACUUCGGGAUAAGCCUGGGAAACUGGGUCUAAUACCGGAUAGGACUCCUGCCUGCAUGGGUGGGGGUGGAAAGCUUUUGCGGUGUGGGAUGGGCCCGCGGCCUAUCAGCUUGUUGGUGGGGUGAUGGCCUACCAAGGCGACGACGGGUAGCCGGCCUGAGAGGGUGACCGGCCGCACUGGGACUGCGAUACGGCCGAGACUCCUACGGGAGGGAGCAGUGGGGAAUAUUGCACAAUGGGCGCAAGCCUGAUGCAGCGACGCCGCGUGAGGGAUGACGGCCUUCGGGUUGUAAACCUCUUUCAGCACCGACGAAGCGCAAGUGACGGUAGGUGCAGAAGAAGGACCGGCCAACUACGUGCCAGCCGCCGCCGUAA